rnacentral:rRNA from 1 species
UACAGAGGGGGCAAGCGUUGUUCGGAAUUACUGGGCGUAAAGGGCGCGUAGGCGGCCGCCUAAGUCAGACGUGAAAUCCCUCGGCUCAACCGGGGAACUGCGUCUGAUACUGGGUGGCUUGAAUCCGGGAGAGGGAUGCGGAAUUCCAGGUGUAGCGGUGAAAUGCGUAGAUAUCGGGAAGAACAUCAGUGGCGAAGGCGGCCUGCUGGGCUGUUGCUGACGCUGAGGCGCGAAAGCUAGGGGAGCAAACGGG